rnacentral:rRNA from 1 species
CGCCUAACACAUGCAAGUCGCACGAGAAACCCUCCGCAAGGGGGGCAGUAAAGUGGCGAACGGGUGAGUAAUACAUGGGUAAUCUACCCUAUAGCGGGGAAUAACCUUCCGAAAGGAGGGCUAAUACCUCAUGUGAUCCUGGGACGACGGUCUUGGGAUGAAAGAUGGCCCGUAAGGGUUAUCACUAUAGGAUGAGCCCAUGGCCCAUCAGCUUGUUGGUAGGGUAACGGCCUACCAAGGCGAUGACGGGUAGCUGGUCUGAGAGGACGACCAGCCACACUGGCACUGAGACACGGGCCAGACUCCUACGGGAGGCAGCAGUGAGGAAUCUUGCGCAAUGGGCGAAAGCCUGACGCAGAGACGCCGCGUGGGGGAAGAAGGCCUUCGGGUUGUAAACCCC